UGCAGAGUGGUGCAAUGGAAGCAUGCUGGGUCCAUAACCCAGAGGUCAAUGGAUUGAAGCUAUCCACUGCUA
rnacentral:tRNA from 1 species